GAGUCGUAACAAGGUUUCCGUAGGUGAACCUGCGGAAGGAUCAUUAAUGAAAUGCAAGGACGUUCUUUUUAGAGGUCCGACCAACUCAUUUUCACACUGUGCACAACACUACACUUUACACAGUUUUAAACCCAUAUAAGUAUAAGAAUGUCAACAGUCUCUUUAUUGAGCAUAAACAAUACAAAA
rnacentral:misc_RNA from 1 species